rnacentral:rRNA from 1 species
AGUCGUUGAUUUCACACUGCCGAGAAAAGCCUCUAGAUAGAAAAUAGGUGCCCGUACCGCAAACCGACACAGGUAGUCAAGAUGAGAAUUCUAAGGUGAGCGAGCGAACUCUCGUUAAGGAACUCGGCAAAAUGACCCCGUAACUUCGGGAGAAGGGGUGCUCUUUAGGGUUAACGCCCAGAAGAGCCGCAGUGAAUAGGCCCAAGCGACUGUUUAUCAAAAACACAGGUCUCUGCUAAACCGUAAGGUGAUGUAUAGGGGCUGACGCCUGCCCGGUGCUGGAAGGUUAAGAGGAGUGGUUAGCUUCUGCGAAGCUACGAAUCGAAGCCCCAGUAAACGGCGGCCGUAACUAUAACGGUCCUAAGGUAGCGAAAUUCCUUGUCGGGUAAGUUCCGACCCGCACGAAAGGCGUAACGAUUUGGGCACUGUCUCAACGAGAGACUCGGUGAAAUCAUAGUACCUGUGAAGAUGCAGGUUACCCGCGACAGGACGGAAAGACCCCGUGGAGCUUUACUGUAGC